AACGAGACCUUAACCUGCUAAAUAGUCCGGCCGGCUUUUGCUGGUCGCAGACUUCUUAGAGGGACUGUCAGCGUCUAGCUGACGGAAGUUUGAGGCAAUAACAGGUCUGUGAUGCCCUUAGAUGUUCUGGGCCGCACGCGCGCUACACUGACAGAGCCAGCGAGUUCUCACCUUGGCCGGAA
rnacentral:rRNA from 1 species